CCCUUAGAUGUUCUGGGCUGCACGCGCGCUACACUGAUGCGCUCAACGAGUUUUAACCUUGCCUGGAAAGGUUGGGUAAUCUUUUUAAAACGCAUCGUGAUGGGGAUAGAUUAUUGCAAUUAUUAAUCUUCAACGAGGAAUUCCUAGUAAGCGCGAGUCAUCAGCUCGUGCUGAUUACGUCCCUGCCCUUUGUACACACCGCCCGUCGCUCCUACCGAUUGAGUGAGCCGGUGAAUAAUUCGGACUGCGGCAUUGACCGGUUCCCGAUCGUUGCUGCGGAAAGUUUAGUGAACCUUAUCACUUAGAGGAAGGAGAAGUCGUAACA
rnacentral:rRNA from 1 species